rnacentral:rRNA from 1 species
GAUGAACGCUGGCGGCGUGCUUAACACAUGCCAGUCGAACGAAGCACUUUAUUUGAUUUCCUUCGGGACUGAUUAUUUUGUGACUGAGUGGCGGACGGGUGAGUAACGCGUGGGUAACCUGCCUUGUACAGGGGGAUAACAGUUGGAAACGGCUGCUAAUACCGCAUAAGCGCACAGCAUCGCAUGAUGCAGUGUGAAAAACUCCGGUGGUAUAAGAUGGACCCGCGUUGGAUUAGCUAGUUGGUGAGGUAACGGCCCACCAAGGCGACGAUCCAUAGCCGAACUGAGAGUGUGACCGGCCACAUUGGGACUGAGACACGGCCCAAACUCCUACGGGAGGCAGCAGUGGGGAAUAUUGCACAAUGGGCGAAAGCCUGAUGCAGCGACGCCGCGUGAGCGAAGAAGUAUUUCGGUAUGUAAAGCUCUAUCAGCAGGGAAGAUAAUGACGGUACCUGACUAAGAAGCACCGGCUAAAUACGUG